CUACGGGUGGCUGCAGGCGAGAAAACUUUGCAAUGUGCGAAAGCACGACAAGGUUAAUCCGAGUGGUUUGUGCUAAACGAACCUUUUGACAGUCCUAGAAACACUGUUGAAUAAGGGGUGGGCAAGUUCUGGUGUCAGCCGCCGCGGUAAAACCAGCACCUCAAGUGGUCAGGAUGAUUAUUUGGCCUAAAGCAUCCGUAGCCGGCUCUGUAAGUUUUCGGUUAAAUCUGUACGCUCAACGUACAGGCUGCCGGGAAUACUGCAGAGCUAGGGAGUGGGAGAGGUAGACGGUACUCGGUAGGAAGGGGUAAAAUCCUUUGAUCUAUUGAUGACCACCUGUGGCGAAGGCGGUCUACCAGAACACGUCCGACGGUGAGGGAUGAAAGCUGGGGGAGCAAACCGGAUUAGAUACCCCAGUAGUC
rnacentral:rRNA from 1 species